GACGAACGCUGGCGGCGUGCCUAAUACAUGCAAGUAGAACGCUGAAGAGAGGAGCUUGCUCUUCUUGGAUGAGUUGCGAACGGGUGAGUAACGCGUAGGUAACCUGCCUUGUAGCGGGGGAUAACUAUUGGAAACGAUAGCUAAUACCGCAUAACAAUGGAUGACACAUGUCAUUUAUUUGAAAGGGGCAAUUGCUCCACUACAAGAUGGACCUGCGUUGUAUUAGCUAGUAGGUGAGGUAAUGGCUCACCUAGGCGACGAUACAUAGCCGACCUGGGAGGGUGAUCGGCCACACUGGGACUGAGACACGGCCCAGACUCCUCCGGGAGGCAGCAGUAGGGAAUCUUCGGCAAUGGGGGCAACACUGACCGAGCAAAGCCGAGUGAGUGAAGAAGGUUUUCGGAUAGUAAAGCUCUGUUGUAAGUCAAGAACGGGUGUGAGAGUGGAAAGUUCACACUGUGACGGUAGCUUACCAGAAAGGGACGGCUAACUACGUG
rnacentral:rRNA from 1 species